rnacentral:lncRNA from 1 species
GGACGCGUGCGGGCCACUGUCCCCAGUCUAUUCCGCGCGCCCAUCUCCGCACCCUCGCACCCUCCUCGGGACACUUGUCCCUCGACUCCCUACCCCAGGCCCGCCCGAAGCACUCGGGCCACCUUCUCGGGAGGUCCCCAGGAUAUUUUCCUGGGGCGACCUGCGCAGCGAGGAAAGGAGGGAUUUCAGAGAAGGGACACAAGGGGGGAUUCCCUGGGAGGGGGGUGCGAUGGCAGACCACAGAUAAAGGAGCGGGUGCCAAAGCGCGGGCCUCUGCUCCGUUGGGGGGCACUGGGAGGCCCCAUGGGCAGAGUUGGAAACUUUUCCUCCACGUGGUAGCACAACCCGUGGCCAAGUGACUCGGCACCCGAAUGACCUCUAGGCCCUCCUCGCCUUCAAGCGGGGGCCCCUGGGACGCGCGGGCGGCUUUGGAGCUGGCAGCGUGAGGUUGUGCUGCCGGGGACCGAACUUGAACCUCGGCAGCGGCGCGCGAGGGGGCGGGGCAGAAGCGGCCAGAACCGCCGCAACCCUGAGGACCCGUUAGACCCGCAAAAUUCAGUCCCAACCACGGCGAGCUUCCUUUAUUUGCGGGGAGCGAGGUCUUCCUGCUUUUCCUAUCACUGCCCCUGCUCCCGCCGCAAUGUACCUGAUGCUUAUAAAAAGUUGUAUUAAAGAGCCGACUGCAGCCCAGAAUCGAUCAACAAAAACGACCAGCCUCUCUGGGUAAAAUAGCUGUGCGUUUUUCGGAGCACUGGAAUUGAUCUACAUGGAUCAGAAAGACGCCAAUAGCCCUCUCUCACAAACCGGUUAGGUACCUCUGAUGAAUGGCACAUUGAUCAACCCAUAUUCUUUAGACUCUGCCAUAUGAAGCCAAUGAAAAAUACCUGAUGACCAAAUGAUGAUUAUGUGAAAAAGUAGUUUUGGCAAUUUAAUAAGCUUUAGAUUUUCACAAAACCAGCCAGUCUCAGGACAAAGCUUUCUACUUGAAGAUUACAUGACAUGAUCAGCAUAUAUAUUUCUAUGGAUCCUAAACUGGCUCUUACCCAGAACACUUCCAUGCCUUUGCCUAUGCUGGUCCAUCACCCUAGAGUCUCCUUUCCUGACAGCUGGACUUACUGAAUGUCUACUCAUCCAUCAAGACCAAUUUAUCCAUCAAGGCGAACUCAUCCAGAAAGCUUAGUCAGAUUGCUACUUCCAUUCAAAAUUAACAGCUUCCUCUCUGCUUAUGUAGCACUUUAAUUUAUAUAUUUUUAAUAUAUUUCAAAAUAAUAUAAUGAACCAUCAUGUACUUUCCCAGUAGCUUAAGAAAUAAAACAUUUGCAAAAUACUCGAACCCUCCUGUGUACCUCCUUUGGGAUUGUGUCCUCCUCCUUCUCUACUCUUCUGCCUCCCUCUUCCUUCCUC